AGUGAACGCUGGCGGUAGGCCUAACACAUGCAAGUCGAACGGCAGCACAGUAAGAGCUUGCUCUUACGGGUGGCGAGUGGCGGACGGGUGAGGAAUACAUCGGAAUCUACUUUUUCGUGGGGGAUAACGUAGGGAAACUUACGCUAAUACCGCAUACGACCUACGGGUGAAAGCAGGGGAUCUUCGGACCUUGCGCGAUUGAAUGAGCCGAUGUCGGAUUAGCUAGUUGGCGGGGUAAAGGCCCACCAAGGCGACGAUCCGUAGCUGGUCUGAGAGGAUGAUCAGCCACACUGGAACUGAGACACGGUCCAGACUCCUACGGGAGGCAGCAGUGGGGAAUAUUGGACCAUGGGCGCAAGCCUGAUCCAGCCAUACCGCGUGGGUGAAGAAGGCCUUCGGGUUGUAAAACCCUUUUGUUGGGAAAGAAAAGCAGCAGGUUAAUACCCCGCUGUUCUGACGGUACCCAAAGAAUAAGCACCGGCUAACUUCGUG
rnacentral:rRNA from 1 species